UACGAAGGGUGCAAGCGUUAAUCGGAAUUACUGGGCGUAAAGGGUGCGUAGGCGGUUCGUUAAGUCUGUUGUGAAAUCCCCGGGCUCAACCUGGGAGUGGCAAUGGAUACUGGCGAGCUAGAGUGUGAUAGAGGAUGGUGGAAUUCCCGGUGUAGCGGUGAAAUGCGUAGAGAUCGGGAGGAACAUCAGUGGCGAAGGCGGCCAUCUGGAUCAACACUGACGCUGAAGCACGAAAGCGUGGGGAGCAAACAGG
rnacentral:rRNA from 1 species